UUAACAGAUUUGAUGGCUGAAGUCCUGUAUCCACAGAAUAUCUUUGAAAGCAACAGUGAUAGCUUCCUCACACUACCCUGCCAAUAGACCUCAACUUUAAAUGGAGGGGCCACCUGUAUAAUGGAGAAAAGUAGCUUUUUAACCAGUUCACUUGGUACAUAUUGCCUCC
rnacentral:sRNA from 1 species